CCUAGUGGCGGACGGGUGAGUAACGCGUGAGUAACCUGCCUUUCAGAGGGGAAUAACGUUCUGAAAAGAACGCUAAUACCGCAUAACGUACAGUUACCGCAUGGUAGCAGUACCAAAGGAGCAAUCCGCUGAAAGAUGGACUCGCGUCCGAUUAGCUAGUUGGUGGGGUAAAGGCCUACCAAGGCGACGAUCGGUAGCCGGACUGAGAGGUUGAACGGCCACAUUGGGACCGAGACACGGCCCAG
rnacentral:rRNA from 1 species